rnacentral:rRNA from 1 species
AUCCUGCCAGAAUCAUAUGCUUGUCCCGAAGCUUAAGCCAUGCAUGUGUCAGAACAAUAGUAGCUUGAUCUAGAAUCUGCGAACGGCUCCGUAUAUCUGUUAUAACCUACCGCCAACCAUCAGCACCGGCAUAACCACGGUAAUUCUGUGGCUAAUACGUGUAAAUGAGGGGCGCCAAGCGCGAGUGCGGCGCCCCUGGUCUUGUCGCUCGACCGACGGCGGGUAAAACCGCUAGCGUGAUUGCUGACAAGGGGACCUGACCGCGGCACUAGCCGUGGCAUGUGCGAUGGAUAUCAGACCUAUCAACUAGAUGCCCAGGUAUAGCCUGGGCAUGGUUAUAACGGGUACAGAGGAUCAGGGUUCGGUCCUGGAGAGGUAGCCUGAGAGAUCGCUACUACUUCUAAGGAAGGCAGCAGGCGCGCAACGUUCCCAAUGGGGGCACCCUGAGGACGUGAAGGGACAUAUCAAUGCCCGGCCCUUAAAGCCGGGCAAUUGAAAUGGGGGACUUUUAAACCCCACACCGAGUAACAAUUA